CUGUGUGUGUCAGUGAGUGGGUGUAUGUCUUUCAGUGAAUGUGUGUCUGUCAGUGAAUGUCUGUGUGUCUGUCAGUGAGUGUCUGUCUGUGUGUCUGUCUGUCAGUGAGUGUGUGUGUAUGUCGGUGAGUGUGCGUGUCGGCCAGUGAGUGUAUGUCUGUCAUUGAGUGUGUGUGCCUGCCAGCAUGUGUCUGUCAGUGAGUGAGUGACAUGAG